CCUACGGGAGGCAGCAGUAGGGAAUCUUCCACAAUGGGCGAAAGCCUGAUGGAGCAACGCCGCGUGGGUGAAGAAGGUCUUCGGAUCGUAAAACCCUGUUGUUAGAGAAGAAAGUGCGUGAGAGUAACUGUUCACGUUUCGACGGUAUCUAACCAGAAAGCCACGGCUAACUACGUGCCAGCAGCCGCGGUCAUACGUAGGUGGCAAGCGUUGUACGGAUUUAUUGGGCGUAAAGGGAACGCAGGCGGUCUUUUAAGUAGGAUGUGAAAGGCGUGGGCUUAACCGGAGUAGUGCAUUGGAAACUGGGAGUCUUGAGUGCAGAAGAGGAGAGUGGAACUCUAUGUGUAGCGGUGAAAUGCGUAGAUAUAUGGCAGAACACCAGUGGCGAAAGCGGCUCUCUGGUCUGUAACUGACGCUGAGGUUCGAAAGCGUGGGUAGCAAACAGGAUUAGAUACCCCAGUAGUC
rnacentral:rRNA from 1 species